AUGGACUGACUUUGAGUGAAGCUAGUUUUCUGGGUGCUCCUGAGGUAUGUAAGGUUCAACUAAGAAAACUAACGGCAAUAUUUCCGCUUGAUAUUCUACUUAUAUAAAUAGAAAAUAGCAAUGCUUUGGGUUAGUGGGGCUUAUGAGUGUUUUAAAGAUUAAGAGAUGACGCUAAUUUCCCCUUCCACGAACUAUGCAUAGUGCAGUCACAGCAUCUUUUUGUGGACGUUGUGGAACUAGUAUUUUUGAGAUUUUUAAGUAAGUAAGGUUCAGCCGGGGACCUUUAAGUAGGUUUUCUCAGCAUAAAAAACAAAUCACAAUCUGCUUUCCACGUUAUGUAAACCUAGCAACUUACGAACUAAGGGGUUAUGAAUUUUGGUUCGUUUUUAAGGGGGAGGACAACUCUCAGGAUGUGUUUCUUUUUUAAGUACUUCCGAAGCUGUUAGUUUUUACGAGUUAUAAAAGCUAAGGAGUCAGGCGAUUAGAGAUGAGUGCCAUUUGGCCCGCUAGCUCACCUUUUUUUUUUUCCUCCUUUUUUUGGGCACAUGCAAGCGAUUACAACAUUCUAAUGUAAGUACGGUAUGUGGACAAGCAUUGCCUUGAUGUUAGGUCCAGUUUUCGAUGUGUUCGGCAAUAAAAGAAACAAUCCAGUUUACAGUAUUAUUAAUCUUCUGAAAGAUAUGUCAGAUAGACACCGCGAUGGAAUGAUGAAGAGAUCUUCAGAUGUCGUAGAGAAGUGGACGAGCUUUCAAAUGUUUCAUCUCAUCUGGGAUCCAGUUAAUGACUGUGGCAGAAUAUCUUUAAUAAAAUUUCUCUUUGUCUAUAAUUUUUAUUUCAUGCAAAUGAUAUCCAUUCAAAUCGGCAUGAAGCUCUGCUUUCAAGACGGAAGGCUCAAAAAGAUGUGAGUCUUUUGCUGCCAACAUUCUGGCAUUCGGACAUCGGAUAACAUAGUCUGUAUCAUUUCUAUCAUUCUUAAUUCUGUCAUCGAAGUUGAUCUUGACAAACUUCAAAGGAAGGAGCUCCAAGGAAACGAAAAAAUAUCCUUUAGAUUGCUAUAGGUGCAUCAUGGGAGUCUCAGGAAUUCGGGGCGUUAAGGGAUAGACCAAUAGUAUUGAAACAUCUAUAUUCUACAACUAAGUAAUAGUCUCUCUUCAACAUCUGAUGCGCAGGC
rnacentral:lncRNA from 1 species